rnacentral:rRNA from 1 species
GACGAACGCUGGCGGCGUGCCUAAUACAUGCAAGUUGAGCGCUGAAGGUUGGUACUUGUACCGACUGGAUGAGCAGCGAACGGGUGAGUAACGCGUGGGGAAUCUGCCUUUGAGCGGGGGACAACAUUUGGAAACGAAUGCUAAUACCGCAUAAAAACUUUAAACACAAGUUUUAAGUUUGAAAGAUGCAAUUGCAUCACUCAAAGAUGAUCCCGCGUUGUAUUAGCUAGUUGGUGAGGUAAAGGCUCACCAAGGCGAUGAUACAUAGCCGACCUGAGAGGGUGAUCGGCCACAUUGAGACUGAGACACGGCCCAAACUCCUACGGGAGGCAGCAGUAGGGAAUCUUCGGCAAUGGACGAAAGUCUGACCGAGCAACGCCGCGUGAGUGAAGAAGGUUGUCGGAUCGUAAAACUCUGUUGGUAGAGAAGAACGUUGGUGAGAGUGGAAAGCUCAUCAAGUAACGGUAACUACCCAGAAAGGGACGGCUAACUACGUG